UACGUAGGGUGCAAGCGUUGUCCGGAAUUAUUGGGCGUAAAGAGCUCGUAGGCGGUUUGUCGCGUCGGCUGUGAAAACUCGGGGCUCAACCCCGAGCCUGCAGUCGAUACGGGCAGACUAGAGUGCUGCAGGGGAGACUGGAAUUCCUGGUGUAGCGGUGAAAUGCGCAGAUAUCAGGAGGAACACCGGUGGCGAAGGCGGGUCUCUGGGCAGUAACUGACGCUGAGGAGCGAAAGCGUGGGGAGCGAACAGG
rnacentral:rRNA from 1 species